AUCUUUAACUGCAGAGACAACGAGAAAUCUGAAAAGUCGGUAAGAGCCGACGCCAAACUCCUUGGAACUAAUUAAUGGAACGGCAAGAGACUCGGUUGUUUAUCCGUGACUGCUGAGUAAUCCGCGUCACGUCUACUUCCUGCACACUCUAGAGAGAGAGUGAGAAAGGACUAAUGUUACCUGACUCUUGGUGUGUAGCUCCUGCUCCCGCAGUGUUUGUGUGUGUCGUUGUGUUUCUGUGUGAGCAGUCAGUGUUUGGUUUGUCUCCUCCUGCUGGUGGAGUCGAGUCACUACAGCCAGCUGCUCCCUCUGCAGCCUGCUCAGCUCUGAUUGGCUGCUGUCCACCUCCCGCUGCAGACGCUCCAGCUCCUCUGAUCACAAACAACAACAA